CGGCCCCGCCCCGCCGGGCGGCACCUGGCCCCGCGCGGCUCCCGUAGCGGCCCGCGCGUGUGGCGGAUCCCGGCGGCGCGGCCUGCGCUCUGGGUUGUGCUUUGACUGUUGGAGGAAGGAACGUGACACGUCUUCAAGAAAAGUAACGCCCUCCAUGUGGUGGAUUUACUCGUUCUGUGCGGUUCAAGCAUCUUGGGCUCGCUGCAGUUAAGCACCAAUCCCACUACGAGCCAUUCCUACAAGAAAAAAUGCUGAGGAGUUUGAAAGGACUUCUCUCCCAUCCUCUAAAGUUGGACCAUGGCUGUGCCCUCCAUAUGGCAGCCAAGGAUUGCUUAAGUGCUGCUGCCAGCCAGGAUGUCCAAACCCCAGCACCUCCACCGAGAGCAGUUUUCUACACCAGUGAGAACAACCCGGCCAACCACGGAGAGCAGCACGAGGGGCGCCACUACAGCAUUCCACUGGAGGAGGUCAGAGCUGUGUUCCCACACGGGCUGCCCUAUCGGUUCCAGCAGCAGAUUAAGACCUUCAACGAAGCCUUCCUGAUGGUGCGAAAACCAGCUCUGGAACUCUUCACCUACCUGAAGAGCUCCAACUUUGCACACCCAGCUGUCAGAUAUGUGAUCUAUGGUGAGAAGGGAACAGGGAAAACCAUGACCCUGUGCCACGUGAUUCACUACUGCACAAGGCAAGGCUGGCUGGUGCUGCACAUCCCGGACGCUCAUCUCUGGGUGAAAAACUGCAGGGAGCUGCUGCAGUCUUCCUACAAGAAAGAACGUCUUGAUCAGCCUCUGCAAGCAUCCUCCUGGCUCAAGAACUUCAAAACCUCCAAUGAGCGCUUCCUAAAAGAGAUAAAAACACAGAGAAAAUAUGUGUGGGGCAAACGAGAAAUCACAGAGGAGGGCAGACCACUGGGUGAAGUGGUGGAGCAGGGUUUAGCCCGUGUGAGAAUCGCCAGCGAUGCCGUAGGGGUUGUGCUGAAGGAGCUGAAGCAGCAAUGUCACCUCGGCUCCUUCAGGCUGCUCGUGGCAGUGGACGGCGUCAACGCGCUCUGGGGACGGACGACGUUGAAGAAGGAAGACAAAAGCCCUGUCUCUCCAGAGGAGCUGACGCUUGUGUACAACCUGAGGAAGAUGAUGAUGAAUGACUGGGUGAGUUCCAGUCUCUACCUUUUGUGGGUGUUCUCCUCAGCAAUUAAAGACCGGAGGUGCCAUAGUGACAACCCUCAGCCAGACUGGCUCUCUCUUCAAACCCAGCUCAGCCUAUUUGCCCCAGGAGCUGCUGGGGAAGGAGGGCUUUGACGCUCUGGACCCCUUCGUCCCCAUCCCUGUCCCAAACUACAGCCCGAGGGAGUUCGAGAGCUGCUACCGGUACUACCUGGACCGCAAGUGGCUGCAGCAUGAGAACGCGCGCACGGAGGACGGGAAGGAGGAGCUGCGGUUCCUGAGCGGCUCCAACCCGCGGCAGCUCGACCGCCUGGCGGGGCCGCUCUAACGCAAUAAAGGGCCGCGGCGGCGGCGGCG